rnacentral:misc_RNA from 1 species
CUUCACCAGCAGCAGUCAUCUCCAAGGAGGAAGUCGCCGCCGAUCGUGAAAAUGCCGUCCCACAAGUCUUUCAUGAUCAAGAAGAAGCUGGCGAAGAAGCAGAGGCAGAACAGGCCUAUUCCUUACUGGAUCCGCAUGAGGACCGACAACACCAUCAGGUACAACGCGAAGCGCAGGCACUGGAGGCGUACCAAGUUAGGAUUUUGAGGUGGAUGGCUUGGAGUUCUCUUCAAGGUUCCAUUGAAAAAUUUAUGGUUUUUUUGGUUACUUACCGUCUUGUUUAGUAGGAGCUUAUUUCUGAAACGAAAUCUAGUAGAGUUGAUUUCUACAGAUGUUUUCGUGAAAUAUUUUGGAGCUGAUUUUAUGUAUUGAAUGAAUAUUUUUGGAUCUACUAUCUUUGAUUGAUGCAUUUUUAGAAUUGGAAUUGG